rnacentral:rRNA from 1 species
AACGAACGCUGGCGGCAUGCCUAACACAUGCAAGUCGAACGAGACCUUCGGGUCUAGUGGCGCACGGGUGCGUAACGCGUGGGAACCUGCCUUUAGGUUCGGAAUAACUCAGAGAAAUUUGAGCUAAUACCGGAUGAUGUCUUCGGACCAAAGAUUUAUCGCCUUUAGAUGGGCCCGCGUAAGAUUAGCUAGUUGGUGGGUAAAGGCCUACCAGGGCGACGAUCUUUAGCUGGUCUGAGAGGAUGAUCAGCCACACUGGGACUGAGACACGGCCCAGACUCCUACGGGAGGCAGCAGUGGGGAAUAUUGGGACAAAUGGGCGGAAAGCCUGAUCCAGCAAUGCCGCGUGAGUGAUGAAGGCUCGG